rnacentral:rRNA from 1 species
GCUCACUGAUCGAGUCGUCCUGCGCGGAAGAUGUAACGGGGCUAAACCAUGCACCGAAGCUGCGGCAGCGACGCGCAAGCGUUGUUGGGUAGGGGAGCGUUCUGUAAGCCGUCGAAGGUGGACUGUGAGGUCUGCUGGAGGUAUCAGAAGUGCGAAUGCUGACAUAAGUAACGAUAAAGCGGGUGAAAAGCCCGCUCGCCGGAAGACCAAGGGUUCCUGUCCAACGUUAAUCGGGGCAGGGUGAGUCGACCCCUAAGGCGAGGCCGAAAGGCGUAGUCGAUGGGAAACAGGUUAAUAUUCCUGUACUUGGUGUUACUGCGAAGGGGGGACGGAGAAGGCUAUGUUAGCCGGGCGACGGUUGUCCCGGUUUAAGCGUGUAGG